GCCUUUGUGGUGUAGCUGUAGCACACUCGGUGCAUAUUCAAGAGGUCUAGGUUCAAGUCCUGGUGAGGGCA
rnacentral:tRNA from 1 species